rnacentral:rRNA from 1 species
UACGGAGGGUGCAAGCGUUAUCCGGAUUUACUGGGUUUAAAGGGUGCGUAGGUGGGUAAGUAAGUCAGUGGUGAAAUCUUCGAGCUUAACUCGGAAACUGCCAUUGAUACUAUUUAUCUUGAAUACUUUGGAGGUAAGCGGAAUAUGUCAUGUAGCGGUGGAAUGCUUAGAUAUGACAUAGAACACCAAUUGCGAAGGCAGCUUACUACACAGUUAUUGACACUGAGGCACGAAAGCGUGGGGAUCAAACAGG